AUGCAGUUGGAGGGACUCGGUUCUUUGUUGCUGCUGCUGCUGUACGGUGAAGGAUUUGAUGGAGCUGUAAUCAGAUCGCCCCAGCGCGGGCCCCACCGAAACCGUCCCUCUCGCCCAAUGCCCACGUUCCCCACUCCCCCGUCUUUCCCUCGCCCGCAUUACUUCUUCCCCCCUUCUCGCGCCGCUCUUCGUUUCUGCUCUCUCUCCCCUCUCCCUCGUCUGCGACAGUUGCUGGUGGUGGCGUGGUCCGGUUCGCGGUGGACGGCGUCUGAAUCUCUGGUGAGGAACGCAUUUCCCCACCCCCUUUGUCUACCUGUUUUGCUCCGCCGGAACACAUUCCCCACCCCCUCUCUUUUCCUGUUUCUCCGCCGGCAUGUCCUGCCGUUGAUUUUUGGUGCUCGGACCAUCCUAAUCCAGUCGAUUGUUGUUCCAAAUAGGGACACAAUGCCGAGGAAGCGCAAAGGAGAUGGUGAUGGAAUUGAUGAAGUUCCUUCAAAAAAGAUGAAGCGCCCUCCUCCGCGGAACAGAGCCUCACCCAGUUCGCUUCUUUUAGCAUGCAAAGACAUGAAUGAUGACAGGAAGGUUGCCAUUGAUGAGAUGGACUUCACAAGCCUUCGCAAUAUCCAGUGUGACCAUCUCUUCAACAAUCUCAGUGUGUGGCUUGCUGUUCUUUAUGAUCCCGAUUCCCGUGAGGUUGUUGUACCAGGGCGGGGCAGACUUCCUGGUUCCGUAAAUGCUGAUGAUACUUUCAAGCAUAUGUGGCUUUUGCUUGCUGGGAAUACAAUCAUUGCCCCGACCACCUCCAACAAAGUCAGCCCUAGAUGUUUCAUUGUUUUCAACUUGCGGCGCAACAUCAAUGGUAUUAAAAAUCUCAAUUGGUCCAAAUUUAUUGCUGAUAAAUUAGACAAGGCGCUGCUGAAACGCAAGCCUACCAGGGGUUGCCUUCUCUUCUACAAUCUACUUUACAUUCACGCGAUUGAUCUUUCUGGACUCGGCAUCGUAUUGCCUAAUGGUCCUUUUCCUAUCAAUGUAUGGACGAAGAAGCUGAUAACUCUUGUCCUCAACAAGGAUGUUCAAGCUGACAAAGUUUCUUUUGGGAAUCUACCGUUGAAGCCUGAGUUUGGCAUGAAUUUCUGUCUGUUUGGUGGUCUCAAAGGUCUUGAUAGGUUUAUGCGUGUUCAUGCCCCAAGCUGCAGUCAGGAGAAAUUUGCCAAAUCUACUCAAAUAGUUGCUCGAUUCACGUCCACUAUGGCUGGCAUAAUAGGCGAUCUUGUGCAAUCAUUCACCGCUUUGGAUGAUGAGGGCCAUUCAGAUGCCUCCUGUAAGCUAGACGCUAGAUUGAAUGUUCUUUCUUCCGCUGCUCGUAUGAUGGCAAGGACCGCACGCUCAUCGCAAGGCAGGCGGCCAGAAAGCACUGGAAAGAGCAUUGCUGAUGAUUCUGAGAGUGAUGAUGAGUACCAUGGAGGCAAUGACGCUGAUUCUGAUGCUGACUCCAAUGAUGAUGAUGAUGAUAUGGAUUAUCGAGUUGUUCAUCGUCGCAGCAAGGAUCCUUUCUUUGCUUCAGGCAGUGGUACCGUGGAUGUAGCUAUGGGCAGUGGGCCAGCUGACGAUGACACCACACAUCUGGAUGAUGCAACUGUAAAAGCUCAUGAGAGCACAACACCAAACAUUGAAGGCAUGCCUAUCCGCACUAUCGAUGAGAACCUUAAUGAGUCUCAGAUCAUGCUCACUGGCAUCUCUCACACAACAUUAGUCGGAUCAGGUGAUGUAGGGCUUAGCCAGCAAGAUCUGACAGACACUCAAGCUGAGGCGGCCACUGAAUCUUCUGUCAAGCGGUGUGGUUAUGAGCUUUUGAAAAAUUUGGCUUACCAGAGGUGCAAGAAACUGAGGCUACCAUCACCCCCGUCCAGCUUCACCAACUGUGCCUGUCCGUCCAACUUCACCAGUUGUGCCCCCAGCCCACCACAAAGGCCAUCUUCACCAAAUGCACCAUCAGCAGCUGAAAUUCAUCUAGCUGUGAAGAAAUUUUUGGUCCAGGAGCUUGGUAUACGUGUGGCUGAAAAGGGAACCGGUGUCGUCGUCCCACUAUCUACCAUGCGGAAGGAGGCUCCAUGCAUGGCACCUGGCAAACAAGCUGCUGCUGCUAAGGAUUCAGUGAUUGCACCAGUAAAAAUUGCACCUAUGAAACAAGUUGCUGCUGCUAAGGCUUCGCCAAGUGUAUCAGGAAAAAGUCGUCCAAAAGAGAAAACCGCGGUGAGAAAGGUGCAAUUCGCCACCAGAUCUUCUCCACGACUAAGGGCAGCAUUGUCGCAGACAACAUCAUCGCAGACAAUAGAAGUUAUCCAUCUUGAUGAAUCGCCCACGGCGACGUCUCCGUAUGCGGUUGAAGUACUUGAUGCGACGGGUGGUUCUUUAGCUUCUGAUAAAGCAGAAGCAGCUAGCUUGGGCAAAUUUGAUGUUGUUGCGGUGACAUCCGCUGCUGUUCGUGUCAUUGAAGAAGUCGUGGGAGGUACCCGAGUCAAUUUGCCUAUUGAUACGACAAUAGCUGAAGGUCAAGAGCAUGAUGCCCAGAAUCCUGUGGUAACCAACAAUGUCAAUGAAGAGAAAGCAUCCCCAGUAGUUGACCCUGUGUUGGAGUCGAGCACCCCUGGAGCUGGAGAAGGCGCCGAUGAGUAUAUAGCCUAUGGUUAUUUUGUGCCACCCAACUGCUCUCUUGGGCUUGAUGCCAUCUUUGGUGCGAGUCCACACGUGCCACCAUCGACUGAAGCAUCUCCAACGGUUCAAGCUGCACCAGCGUUGGCUCCUACGGGUCAAGCUGCACCUCCAUUACCAGAUGCUUCAGCGGCUAUGGCAUCGGCUCAAGUACCACCUGCAGCACCAGAAGCAUCGAUGGCGGCUCCAUCGGCUCAAGUACCACCUGCAGCACCAAAAGCAUCGGAGGCGGCUCCAUCGGCUCAAGUACCACCUGCAGCACCAGAAGCAUCGGAGGCGGCUCUAUCGGCUCAAGUACCACCUGCAGCACCAGAAGCAUCGGAGGCGGCUCCAUCGGCUCAAGUACCACCUGUAGCACUAGCUACUGGCCCUAUCGCAGUUCUCGGGCUUCCAUCUCCUAUUGUCGCCGAACCCAAGGGCAAGAAAGGAGGGAAACUAUCAAAGCACAACCGAUUGCUUGGGCUCCGCCACACAACUCCGAUGAUAACCCCUCCUCCUGGUGAUAACUCCAACCUCCCCUCCAUGGUAACUUUGUCAGCUUUGAAAGCAGUUGUUAUCACACCAACCAUGGGCCUGAUUGAUGAUGAUGAGGUUCUCAUGUGGUGGGAAGAGUUUGAACAUGACAAUCCAACAUUAAAAGGGAAACUGAAUGUUCAAAUAGACCACCCUCAAAGUCUAACAUUCGUUACACCAGAGUUACCACCUCGCACAGGGCAUUUAGCAUGCAGUGCAACCCCUAAAUCCUUUAUUCGAAAAGUUAGGGUCACCCACCCGUCCAAAUACCUGCUCCCGCCUUUUGCCACCCUCACAUCGACCGAGGAGGAAGAUGUUAGGGUCAUCGACAUUGAUGGUAGGUGGGUCACCCUAGGUGAGCUUGCCAAUUGUGUGAAGGGAAUUGGGCGACUAUCAACCGGCAUUGCUGAGUUACAUGUUCGCAUUCUUCAGCGUAAGGAAACCCCAAACAGGAUCAUCUUCCCUUGGGUGUUGUCUGUGUAUCUGUUGAUAGGAGACUUCACAUCCAAGUGUCUAUUGAAGUAUUUCCGACAGGAUCAGUUUUACAUCCUUAGUCACCAGGAUCAGCAGCUAUUCCCUGCUUUGCAAAAGUUGGGUCCCGGUCCAAAUGACGGGCAUUGGUAUAUGUUGUCACUAAAUCUCAGGGCAAAGCGGUUCGAAGUUCUAGAUUCAUUACGUGAACAAGAUAGUCCUUCUCUUCUCGAGCAUGCGACAAGAUACAUGGACAAUAUAAAGAAGGGUUGGUUGAUAAAUUACAAGGACUCGCAUAAGAAAAUUCAGAAUUAUGAACUUGUGUACAUUGAUGUGUUGAAACAAGAUAAUGGUUUAGUUGUGGAUUAUUCAUUCUCUUUUUAA
rnacentral:rRNA from 1 species